ensembl:snoRNA
AUCGAGGCUAGAGUCACACUUGGGUAUCAGCUGCUGCCUUUGUGUGCUAGAGUCCUUGAAGAGUAACUGCUGACCUUAGUCACUCACUGUAGCCCUCAGGGCAUAGUCACCAGCAAAUAAACAUCAGUGUUGAGAUUGAAAAAAAAA